AUUUUCUACAAUUGGUUCAAAGUAACUGCCCCUUCUGGCCAGCUGGUCUCAGAAACAUAACAGGAAUAAACUUGCUUAGUACUUUGAUGGAAGACUUCAAGGGAAUGUUAGGGAUAUAAGUG
rnacentral:rRNA from 1 species